CCCAGUGGAGGUUCAUCAUCAUUUCCGUGGGUUUAUCAGCUCUCUUCAUAACCGUUUGUGACUGUCUACAUUUGGACCAGAACCAAAGGUGAGGAUGUCAAAAGAUUAAACUCAUGGAAAACAAUUUUUUUUUAAACCUGCAUUUUUUUUAUGUGGAAGCUAAAGUGGACUUCAUCUUUCUUUUUUUAGUGAAAAAAUUACAAAGGGAGGAAAAUACUGUGAGAUUUCCUUAAUGUCAGACAGUGGUGUGAGCUUUGUGUUGCAGAUGCAUAAACACACAUUCUCAAUUUGCAGGUUGUUUAGGACAAACUGCUGAAUGAUCAAAUUUGGUGUAUUCAGUUUUAGUGGCUAUAUACUUCUUAUUAUGCGCUUAAAUAUAAACCACUGACUGGCUAGGGCUCAGAGGAAAUAGAGUGGCAUCUAAAAGUUGGUUUACUCAGGUGGGGGAUGGUCAUGAUCAUGAAAAAGAG